AGAGUUUGAUCAUGGCUCAGAUUGAACGCUGGCGGCACGCCUAACACAUGCAAGUCGAGCGGCAGCAUGGGUGGCAGCAAUGCCACCUGAUGGCGAGCGGCGGACGGGUGAGGAACACGUAGGAACCUGCCCUCAAGCGGGGGACAACCAAGGGAAACUUUGGCUAAUACCGCAUACACCCGAGAGGGGAAAGCCACCCGCAAGGGCGGCACUUGAGGAGGGGCCUGCGUCCGAUUAGCUAGCUGGUGAGGUAACGGCUCACCAGGGCGAUGAUCGGUAACUGGUCUGAGAGGACGACCAGUCACACUGGGACUGAGACACGGCCCAGACUCCUACGGGAGGCAGCAGUGGGGAAUAUUGGACAAUGGGGGCAACCCUGAUCCAGCGAUGCCGCGUGAGUGAAGAAGGCCCUCGGGUCGUAAAGCUCUUUGGGCGGGGAAGAAGGAUGUGUGGUGCAUAGCCACGCAUUUUGACGGUACCCGCAGAACAAGCACCGGCAAACUCUGUGCCAGCAGCCGCGGUAAUACAGAGGGUGCGAGCGUUAAUCGGAGUUACUGGGUGUAAAGGGCGCGUAGGCGGCACGGCGUGUGUGGUGUGAAAGCCCCGGGCUUAACCUGGGAAGUGCACUGCAGACUGCCGAGCUGGAGUAUGUGAGAGGGUGGCGGAAUUUCCGGUGUAGCGGUGAAAUGCGUAGAGAUCGGAAGGAACGUCAAUGGCGAAGGCAGCCACCUGGCACAAUACUGACGCUGAGGCGCGAAAGCGUGGGGAGCGAACAGGAUUAGAUACCCUAGUAGUCC
rnacentral:rRNA from 1 species